GUAUUAGAUUAUAUCGAGUCGAAGCUCGAACGUUUCAUUCGUUAAAGAUUUACAAGCGUGUAUAAAAAUGCGCGAGCCGAGAUAUCUCGGCCCACAUAGGGUGCACAGAUAGGGGUAGAUGAAUGAAAGAGAAGAUAGGGGCGCGCACGAUAUCCCUCGCGGGACCAGCAUCGACCCCCACUUCGAGUGUUUUCAUUAAUGAUCCUUCCGCAGGUUCACCUACGGAAA
rnacentral:misc_RNA from 1 species